GCCUCGGUAGUGUAAUAGAUCAGCACAGCAGAUCGGAUAUUUGUAAGUGCGGGUUCGAGUCCCGCUUGAGGUU
rnacentral:tRNA from 1 species